rnacentral:rRNA from 1 species
AGAGUUUGAUCCUGGCUCAGGGAUGAACGCUAGGUUACAGGCUUAACACAUGCAAGUCGAGGGGAAACGGCAGUCUAGCUUGCUAGACCGGACGUCGACCGGCGAAUGGGUGAGUAACGCGUAUCCAACCUUCCGCGAAGUACGGAAUAGCCUUGCGAAAGUAAGAUUAAUGCCGUAUGUGGUGUUUAGAAGACAUCUGAAGAACACUAAAGAUUUAUCGCUUCGCGAUGGGGAUGCGUCUGAUUAGGUUGUUGGCGGGGCAACGGCCCACCAAGCCCACGAUCAGUAGGGGUUCUGAGAGGAAGGUCCCCCACAUUGGAACUGAGACACGGUCCAAACUCCUACGGGAGGCAGCAGUGAGGAAUAUUGGUCAAUGGGCGAGAGCCUGAACCAGCCAAGUAGCGUGCGGGAUGAAGGCCCUAUGGGUUGUAAACCGCUUUUAUACAGGGAUAAAGUCGGGGACGCGUUCCCCGUUUGCAGGUACUGUAUGAAUAAGGACCGGCUAAUUCCGUGCC